AGCCUUGUGGUCUAGUGGUACGACACCAGCCGGCUUCUGUGGAAUCUGAAAGCUGGGGAAUGCGAGUUCGACUCCCGCCAAGGCAG